GAUGAACGCUGGCGGCGUGCCUAAUACAUGCAAGUCGAGCGAACAGACGAGGAGCUUGCUUCUCUGACGUUAGCGGCGGACGGGUGAGUAACACGUGGAUAACCUACCUAUAAGACUGGGAUAACUUCGGGAAACCGGAGCUAGUACCGGAUAAUAUAUUGAACCGCAUGGUUCAAUAGUGAAAGACGGUUUUGCUGUCACUUAUAGAUGGAUCCGCGCCGCAUUAGCUAGUUGGUAAGGUAACGGCUUACCAAGGCGACGAUGCGUAGCCGACCUGAGAGGGUGAUCGGCCACACUGGAACUGAGACACGGUCCAGACUCCUACGGGAGGCAGCAGUAGGGAAUCUUCCGCAAUGGGCGAAAGCCUGACGGAGCAACGCCGCGUGAGUGAUGAAGGUCUUCGGAUCGUAAAACUCUGUUAUUAGGGAAGAACAAAUGUGUAAGUAACUAUGCACGUCUUGACGGUACCUAAUCAGAAAGCCACGGCUAACUACGUG
rnacentral:rRNA from 1 species